GAACUGGUCAGUGCAGAGGUUAGCAUGUCCGCCUAUGACGCUGAACGCCUGGGUUCGAACCCUGGCGAGAUCA
rfam:Stomoxys calcitrans breed 8C7A2A5H3J4 unplaced genomic scaffold Scaffold257, whole genome shotgun sequence.